UGCCAGCAGCCGCGGUAAUACAGAGGGUGCAAACGUUGCUCGGAAUUAUUGGGCGUAAAGAGCAUGUAGGCGGUUUUUUAAGUCGGCCGUGAAAGCCCAUGGCUCAACCAUGGAAGUGCAGUCGAUACUGAAAAACUUGAGUCCCGGAGAGGGUGGCGGAAUUCCCAGUGUAGAGGUGAAAUUCGUAGAUAUUGGGAGGAACACCGGUGGCGAAGGCGGCUCACUGGCUCGAUACUGACGCUGAGGUGCGAAAGUGUGGGGAGCAAACAGGAUUAGAUA
rnacentral:rRNA from 1 species